UACGUAGGGGCUGCACGUUGUCCGGAUUUAUUGGGCGUAAAGAGCUCGUAGGCGGUUCGAUAAGUCGGACGUGAAAUCUCCACGCUCAACGUGGAGGGGCCGUUCGAUACUGUCGUGACUCGAGUCCGGUAGGGGAGUGUGGAAUUCCCGGUGUAGCGGUGAAAUGCGCAGAGAUCGGGAGGAACACCCGUAGCGAAGGCGGCACUCUGGGCCGGUACUGACGCUGAGGAGCGAAAGCGUGGGGAGCAAACAGGG
rnacentral:rRNA from 1 species